rnacentral:lncRNA from 1 species
UCGGGCGUUGACCCGAGCUUCAGCCUCUCUCUCCUCUCUCUGGCUACGUCAGUCUUUCCCGACUCUUCGUCGUUGAUUCCGGCCACCACUCACCGCCACAUCGGUCUCAAAAUGACCGUCUCAUUCUCUUCUAUCUAACCCGGUCCAUAGAACUCGAUGUUAGCCCGAUUCAAAGCCAAACCGAGGGAGAGAAGCUCGGCUGUUUUUCGGCGAAUCCUCGAGAUUCCGACCACGGCGUGACGAGUGGGAGGUAGGGUUAUCUUCCUCUCUUCCUACUUCACCUUCUGGUGCCUUUCUUUUCCCCAUAUCGUGCCUUAAUUGAAGACCCAUUUUUCUGUGUUCUCCGAGUUUCGAGCUCCUAGCUCAGGCGACCCUAGCUCGGUGGUUUCUGGCGAGUUCUUCAGCGUUUUGGCAGGUCAUGUGAGCUUGGUGUGAAGUUGAGACGGACAUUGAUGGAGUUGCAUAUCGAUCAGGAUCGAGGCAGAGGUCUGGUGCGCUUGACCGAAGAGGAUCCGAGGUGAAUGGUGUUGUUGCAGUGAAGAAUGAGGCAACGGUUGUGGAUGUUUAGGGGUCCUGCAUAUUGAGUCCGGACCAGGAGAGUUCUUGGGAUAGCACUUGAGAUCAAUGGAAUGUAAUCUUGAUCUCCUUUGAUGUUAUAUAGUUGUUGUGUGGAUAUUCGGACUGAUUGGAUGCAUUUUUUUUGGUGUUGCUUGUGGAGAACUUGGUGUAUUGAAGAAUAUAGGGAGGUCAUGGCAAAAUUCCGGUAAGAGGCCAGAAUCCGGCAGAAUAUUCCGGCAAGUCGCUGGAGUCCGGCAAGGGGUGGAGCUGGCAGAAAUGAUGGAGGUAGUGAUCGAUGUUUCUUUUUCAUUGUAUGUCAUUUCGGGAAUAGGAAAGUUUGGAUUGUAAUCGGAAAAAUUGUCAAGUUAGGAAAGUUUCUAUUUGGGAUACUUUCCGUUUUUGGAAACCUUCCAUUUAUGGAAACCGUUUUUGGGUGCCCUUAGUAGUUUUGUGGUUUUUCAUAUUAAUAUGGUUCGUAUGUUUUUGACUUAAAGAAAUUACAUUAGUUUGAUUAAUAAAAAAUCGAGGUUCACCAAAACAAAUUAUUAAGUGAUGCCUAAGCGUCUAACGGUUAGUGGGACGUAUAGAGAAAAUUGGAUCGAAUUGUUAAGUCAAAGGUUGAAUUGAAAAACGUUGAGCAUCGUUAGUUGGUCAAAUCAGUUUGACCUAAGAAACCUUAGUCAAACUAGGAAAGAAGGCGAGGCAAAGGUUAUUUUAAAGUUUGGUCUGACCAAUUUGUCCUACAACUUAUGGUCAGGCAUGGGAUUGACUCAAGGACAUGGAUAUUUGGAAGCGGCGCUCAAGGAGUGUCCCGAGCAAUGGAAAACUUAAGCCUAAUACUGUGAGUGGACAUUUUCAUUUUAAAUAAAUAUGCAUGCAAGAUUUUAUAAUUUAUUAUUUUAUUUUCCGAGCUUAUAUUAUAAUUUUGGCUUAUGAGAUGUUCUUGGAAAUUAUUUGAGUUUGAAGCAUUGCUUAAGUGUUGGUCAUGAUAUAUGGAUUCGAGCUCAGGUUAUAUAGUUGGUAUUUAAGUUUUGAUAUUCUUUAUGACUCCGGAUUUAAAUAUUUUCGGUUUUAUUUUUUUGAUGACUUUGAAAUUUAUAAAUGAUUACCGAAAAUGGGAUUUUCAGUAGUUCUCCAUCAUAAUUUAAUUGUUUAUUGAUGCAUAAUGAUUUUGACUUGGAGAAUAUUUUAGCGAGAAUUUUCGAGUGGGGAUAUUAUUAUUUAUGAUUUAUAUUUGAUAUUGAAAUCUCGCUUAUAUUUAUAAAUGUGAGAAUAUUUUGACGUGUGAGAGACGUCAUUGAGUUUUAAUAUAAUAUCUUAUGAUGAUUUUCAAGUACAGUUGGAAACCGUACCAUUCGUAUGAUAUUGGUGAAGUUUAAUGGAUUUAAGUGAUUUCGUAUGUUUUUAGUCACCAUAAUAUAGGGUUGAUUUAUAUUGAUUAUUGCUAGCUAACCUUAUUAGCGGUCCUCAUCAUAUGUGAGUCCACUACCAGAAGAAAGGCUUUAGCCGACGAAAAUAAAAAAACCAGGCCGACAAAUUAUUUUUUCAUCGGCUAAAGUCCACUUUAGCCGACGAAAUUUUCCUUCGUCGGCUAAUUUAAAAUUUUCGUCAGCUAUGGUCAACUUUAGCCGACGAAAUUUUAAUUUCGUCGUCUGAAUAAUUUUUUUCGUCGGUUAUAGUUUGUGAACUUUAGCCGACGAAAUUUUUAAAAGUUUAGCCAACGAAAAAUAUAAUUUCGUCGGCUAAAGUGCCUUAUAUUUGCAGAUCUGGACAACAACUCAUCUGGGAAAAAAAAACUAUACGUAGAACCUUCAAACGCAAAAAAGUCGUGAAAUAAGAUAUGACCAAAAUGGUGAAAUACGUCUACAGUUGAAAAAUCAUGGUAUUCCGGUAAAGUACCAGUGCCGAUAGUUGCGGUCAAUGCAAUUUACCCUUAUUAUUCACUAUGCUGCAGAUUUGGCGUUUGGUGUCCGAUUGACUAUUGUGAUACCUUUCCGGAAGCAUAACGGCCCUACGAGUCAAACUCAACGCUUUGCCCUGACAUAUGGGUCUUUUUGGCCAUCCGAGUCCGUUUAGGGCUUCAAAAUGUAGUUUUCUUAUUUCCGAUUAAAGUUAGACCGUUUCGAUCGAGCCCUUAACGUUGUCGGAUCCAGUUGAAUUUUUUACCAUAGACAUCUUUCGUCAUAAUGAUCAUAUCUGACGGUCGAAUUUUGGUUUGUGAAUUUUAGUCAUCAGAAUCACAAUGUGUACUAUUUACCGUUAUUCUUCCCUAUGGGGAGCCCUACCGUCGGAAAGUAAAUGUCUCAAAAUUUUUAUAUGGGCAGUUGCGUCUCAUCUACGUGAGAGCUUUUUGUGUGGAAGGUUUGACCAAACGACGUAAUAUAGAGGGAGAUAUGAGCGUUUUUGUGUGAUAAGUGAUGAUGGAUUAGGGUUGACCGUUUCGAUCGAGCCCUUAACGUUGUCGGAUCCAGUUGAAUUUUUUACCAUAGACAUCUUUCAUCAUAAUGAUCAUAUCUGAUGGUCGAAUUUUGAUUUGUGAAUUUUAGUCAUCGGAAUCACAACGUGUCUACUAAUGUUGUAUAACUUGUUUAGUAG